UACGUAGGGAGCAAGCGUUGUCCGGAUUUAUUGGGCGUAAAGAGCUCGUAGGCGGUCCGUAAGUCGCGAAGUCAAAGUCUCUGGGCUCAACCCAGAAUCGCUUCCGAUACUGCGGUGACUGGAGUCCGGUGAGGGAGUGGUGGAAUUCCUGGUGUAGCGGUGAAAUGCGCAGAUAUCAGGAGGAACACCAACAGCGAAGGCAGCACUCUGGGCCGGUACUGACGCUGAGGAGCGAAAGCAUGGGGAGCGAACAGG
rnacentral:rRNA from 1 species